UCAAGCGCGGCUCUGCCGCGGUUGGAAUAGAACCCUUGCCUUUUUUCGAGCACCCUUCGUUUCCUCGGCAGGCUCGCCUGCCACUGGGGACCCAACCAAAACCUUUUGCAAUGCAGUGUCCAGUCUGAUAAACAAACAAAUAAAUCA
rnacentral:misc_RNA from 1 species